AAUUUUGGACAAUGGGGGAAACCCUGAUCCAGCCAUACCGCGUGUAGGAUGAAGGCCUUCGGGUUGUAAAGUACUUUUGGCAGAGAAGAAAAGGUGUCUCCUAAUACGAGAUACUGCUGACGGUAUCUGCAGAAUAAGCAGCGGCGCACUCCGUGUCAGCAGCCGCGGUAAUACGUAGGGUGCAAGCGUUAAGCGGAAUUACUGGGCGUAAAGCGUGUGUAGGCGGUUCGGAAAGAAAGAUGUGAAAUCCCAGGGCUCAACCUUGGAACUGCAGUUUUAACUGCCGAGCUAGAGUAUGUCAGAGGGGGGUAGAAUUCCACGUGUAGCAGUGAAAUGCGUAGAUAUGUGGAGGAAUACCGAUGGCGAAGGCAGCCCCCUGGGAUAAUACUGACGCUCAGACACGAAAGCGUGGGGAGCAAACA
rnacentral:rRNA from 1 species